rnacentral:rRNA from 1 species
UAGGGAAUCUUCCACAAUGGACGCAAGUCUGAUGGAGCAACGCCGCGUGAGUGAAGAAGGUUUUCGGAUCGUAAAGCUCUGUUGUUGGUGAAGAAGGAUAGAGGCAGUAACUGGUCUUUAUUUGACGGUAAUCAACCAGAAAGUCACGGCUAACUACGUGCCAGCAGCCGCGGUAAUACGUAGGUGGCAAGCGUUGUCCGGAUUUAUUGGGCGUAAAGCGAGCGCAGGCGGAAUGAUAAGUCUGAUGUGAAAGCCCACGGCUCAACCGUGGAACUGCAUCGGAAACUGUCAUUCUUGAGUGCAGAAGAGGAGAGUGGAAUUCCAUGUGUAGCGGAGGAAUGCGUAGAUAUAUGGAAGAACACCAGUGGCGAGGGCGGCUCUCUGGUCUGCAACUGACGCUGAGGCUCGAAAGCAUGGGUAGCGAACAGG